UCCGUUCUCUAUCUGUAGUCUUGAUCAUGUGACAAUUGCUUAGGUCUGUAGGCGGGAAGGCAACGGGAAAAACCAGAGUGAAUAAGCUUGUGUGGAAGGAGGGAAUGUUACACGUGAAGCACAUUCAGUUAGGUUAUAAUGUUCAUUUGUCACAAAAUAAUCGUUCUGUAGGCAUUGUCUCUGGACUUGUCGAAUGCUUGGUGUGUUCAGUCCGUCAACGUCCUGAAGUGUUGUUCCGCUACCCCAGAGUUCGGAAUAACAGUUUGGAUUGUGUGUGUGUGUGUGCCAGCUACGGAGAUCCUGGUGGAGUAUGUGCCUAAGUGUGUAAGUGAACCUGUACGCUCGUCGUGAAGUGAGUGAGAGCGUUCCUGACGCAGAGAUACGUCUGCCUUUAUUUUUACGUUCGUCUCAGUGACACUGGCGGACAGUAACAGUAAGUGUUUUCAAACUUUCUAUAAAUUAUCAGGCAGGCCAUUUGUAUUCUGGACCGAUUUAUAUGGACAGGUUUGUCUACUCCUGGCAGACCUUACGGAAGGUGGGGGUCAGAUGAACGUAGUCACGGGUGAGGCCAGUUCUUGUCGAAUACAAUCUCUUCCUGCUACACGGGACGGUGAACAACAACAACUGAGAAUGUGUCCUAGAUUAUGAAGCGGUGUGCCACUCCUUCAAACAACAGCGACUGAUGAAAUCGAGACAAGAGAUGAAGACGAGCAAUAUGUAAGGGCGAGAUGGACUUCAAAAGACAUCAAAUGUGUCAAUAGACCAAAGUUCUUGAGUCCGAAAUUCAUCAAAAUCCUCCCGACUCCUCCUUGAAUGACAGGAAAGGUCAUUGCUUCAAACCUAGCAAGCUUUAACAUCUAGAAGUGCUUGUCAUCGGACAGGGAAGCUCAGAGUUCCAAUCCCUUCAGUGCACUUCACAGCUUCGAGCAGUUGUCUUUUCUGUUUGAACUCUCGAAAGGAAACAAGGGGUGUCACAACAUCAUAAGAUGGAGGAUUCAGUUCAAGAUCAGCAAGAACUUCAGCAGGAAGACACCAUGCCACUCGAGAGCACGGCCCUGCUGAACUCAGUUGCUGAAGCUGGCAGCUGCGAUGUGGUCAAAGAACUCACUUCUGAUAGU